GACGAACGCUGGCGGCGUGCUUAACACAUGCAAGUCGAACGGAAAGGCCCUGCUUUUGUGGGGUGCUCGAGUGGCGAACGGGUGAGUAACACGUGAGUAACCUGCCCUUGACUUUGGGAUAACUUCAGGAAACUGGGGCUAAUACCGGAUAGGAGCUCCUGCUUCAUUGUGGGGGUUGGAAAGUUUCGGCGGUUGGGGAUGGACUCGCGGCUUAUCAGCUUGUUGGUGGGGUAGUGGCUUACCAAGGCUUUGACGGGCAGCCGGCCUGAGAGGGUGACCGGCCACAUUGGGACUGAGAUACGGCCCAGACUCCUACGGGAGGCAGCAGUGGGGAAUAUUGCACAAUGGGCGGAAGCCUGAUGCAGCAACGCCGCGUGCGGGAUGACGGCCUUCGGGUUGUAAACCGCUUUCGCCUGUGACGAAGCGUGAGUGACGGUAAUGGGUAAAGAAGCACCGGCUAACUACGUG
rnacentral:rRNA from 1 species